CAUAUGUCGGGCGAGAUGCGGGGGGAAUACGUGGGGUGCGAGGGUUUGCCGGAUGGAGUGGGGGGAAAGAGCGCGUAUGGGGCUUGGCAAGUCGGAUGUGAAAACUCCAGGCUCAACCUGGAGACGCCAUCCGAGACUGCUAUGGCUUGAGGCCGGGAGGGGACCACGGAAUACCUGGUGUAGCGGUGAAAUGCGCAGAUAUCAGGUGGAACACCGGUGGCGAAGGCGGUGGUCUGGGCCGGAACUGACGCUGAGGAGCGAAAGCGUGGGGAGCGAACAGGAUUAGAUACCCGAGUAGUC
rnacentral:rRNA from 1 species